UAGUUACCCCUCGACCUCAAGGCUCCAGUCCAGUGACAACUGACGAUUGAUGAUAGUUGGGGUGAUUGGGUUAUUAGUAGUUGUAGUUCCGUGCUAUUUUUGUAAACUAUAUAUUUGCUUCUUAGAGGGCUCGUAAUAUCACGAAAAAUGACGGAACCAUGUGUCGAAGUUGUCAAAAUUAUCGAAGAUGGCCACUGGGGAUAGGAAUAUUACAGCAAAAGCAGGAGAAAACUUUCUUAACCUCUAGGCCGAAGUUGCUCCAGGUUUGCAUUGCAUUAAAACACCAAGUAAAUUGACUGAGAACGUUUGAUGAAGAGCCACUCCUGACCCUCGCCUAUCCCAAAACGACAAGGCUUUGAAAUUCUCUAGUUGCCCUUAGCCAGUGGAAUAUACUGAAAUCUACCCAAGCUAAGCAGUAAACAGGGGGAUAUUCUUCAAAUAAUGAAAGAGAAAAACAUAAUUUACCUCUACUGCACUACUACGUACUAUAUGAACAGUACAGUUAUGGGAAAUUCCUUCUAAUCUUUAGUUUGUAAUUUGAAAUUUUCAUUACUCUCUAUCAAUCUUUUUAUUGUACUAAGAAACUAAAUAUCAAAGUAAACAAACUUGCGAGUCUGAGUUUUACAUCAACCUGAGGUCAAGUAUGCAAUAAUUUUUUCUACACCUAAAAGCUAAUUUCAGUAAUCAGUAUUUAUAAUGAAUGAAAAAAAAACAUCCCAAAUUAUUUACUGUGAAUGUUGAACAGAAAGGUACUGUAUUGCAUAAUGAAGUCUAGCAGUUAUUCCAUAGCAUGAAGUAACAUAACCUAUAGACCUUUACAAGCAGAAGCCACUACGGUACUUACAGUUUGAAAGUCCUAAGGGGGAAAAGGGAAAGGCAUAUCAAAUAGUACAAAAUAAUAUUGUGCAUUUUUUAUGUCUAAUAAAAAAAAACAUAAAGUAAUAAGUUUUAAGCAGUCAAGUGUACAUAAUGGCAAAGAAUAAUUUUUUAUAAUCUUGUUAGAGGCAUUCUCUAGAGAGCAAUUGUGAAAAACUGAUGUACCAAAGAAAAUAUUAAGUUACAUACAGUAUACACAAUGGCAAUCUGAUUGUCACAAGGUCUAUCCAAACUUACAAAAAACAAAGGCUAUAAAAUUAUAGUACUGUACUUAAAGAGGUAACUACAGCUGCAGAAGAAGAUGUACUGCAAAAUGUACUGUGCACACUAC